CACCAGGUGGCUCAGUGGUUGAGUGAGGUCACAGUCCUCCACACAGUGGUCCCAGGUUCAAUUCCCUGCCUCGGGCCAUUUA